AGGGACAGGAUACAGAGGGACACAUGGAGACUAAACCUCAGGCCACCCACACAUUCCGGAAUCUUCCGUGCUACUGGCAUAGAAACAUGGGGAAAAAAUGCAGGGUGGAUCAGGCGCUGCACAUUGAAGAGACACUGAAUUUCUUCGGAGAACAAUGCUGUUUCAGUUCGCCAGCCGGACGGUGAAAGGAAUGGAGCCGGUUUCGAAGCUUUCCUGAUUCUUAGUGGGACAACGUCGCUAAAGACACAGCCCAUCAGCAUGCUGCCCCGAGUCUGGCUUCACAGGACGAGCCCCGGGACUGCGGCAAUAACCGCGGUCCGUCCAAGACAAGCAAACAAACAUACAUAAACAUACGCUCAUAUAUAAACAUACGCUCGAAAUUUCGGCGACAGCCGCGCACGCUAAAACGGAGCACGUACAAGCACACACUAAUACGGCGUACGGGUAUGGCUGUUGAGGGGGAGGGGUU